CCAGAAAACUCUUUUGGGCAAGAGGGAC
rnacentral:piRNA from 1 species